rnacentral:rRNA from 1 species
ACAGAGGAUGCAAGCGUUAUCCGGAAUCACUGGGCAUAAAGCGUCUGUAGGUUGCUUAACAAGUCUGKUGUUAAAGAUCAGGGCCUAACCCUGGGAAAGCAAUGGAAACUAUUAGGCUUGAGUGUGGUAGAGGUAGAGGGAAUUCCUGGUGUAGCGGUGAAAUGCGUAGAUAUUAGGAAGAACACCAACGGCGAAAGCACUCUACUGGGCCAUA